CUGUUGACUGCACCCAGGCAGCUGGAAAAUGGACUGCAGCAUGAGGAUCGUGUGAUUAAAGUUCAAAGUGCAAGCAUGCGAUAAUCAUAGGAAAAAUGCUUUGGAGGUGGUACCCAGGAGCUACAUAAAAGAAAACAAUACACAAAAUGGAAUCACAUAAAAACACCAAUCUCUCCUUUCCAGUGAUGUCAUGUAUACUCACCAUGUUACAUACGGUGAUCUGGUCUCAGAUUCUGGUCUCAGGAUUCAAGUUAACUCACAGUCACCCAGCAUGCCAGGAUGCUUUGAUCGUCCCCUGCAAACUUCCCCUCUC